rnacentral:pre_miRNA from 11 species
GUAUAUAUAUCUGUAUAUCUGUAUAUGUGUUUGUAUGUGUAUAUAUACACACAUGUAUAUGUGUAGGUAUAUGUAUA